rnacentral:rRNA from 1 species
AGCUCCAAUAGCGUAUAUUAAAGUUGUUGCGGUUAAAAAGCUCGUAGUUGGAUUUCUGCUGAGGACGACCGGUCCGCCCUCUGGGUGAGCAUCUGGAUUGGCCUUGGCAUCUUCUUGGAGAACGUAUCUGCACUUGACUGUGUGGUGCGGUAUCCAGGACCUUUACUUUGAGGAAAUUAGAGUGUUUGAAGCAGGCACACGCCUUGAAUACAUUAGCAUGGAAUAAUAACAUAGGACCUCGGUUCUAUUUUGUUGGUUUCUAGAGCUGAGGUAAUGAUUAAUAGGGAUAGUUGGGGGCAUUCGUAUUUAACUGUCAGAGGUGAAAUUCUUGGAUUUGUUAAAGACGGACCACUGCGAAAGCAUUUGCCAAGGAUGUCUUCA